GAUGAACGCUAGCGGGAGGCCUAAUACAUGCAAGUCGAACGGUAAGGUCCUUCGGGAUACACGAGUGGCGGACGGGUGCGUAACGCGUACGGAAUAUACCUUCAACAGGGAGAUACCUCCGGGAAACUGGAAUUAAUACCCCAUAGUAUUAUAGAUUCGCAUGAAUUUAUGAUUAAAGCUCAGGCGGUUGAAGAUUAUCGUGCGUCUGAUUAGGUAGUUGGUAGGGUAAUGGCCUACCAAGCCAACGAUCAGUAGCUGGUCUGAGAGGAUGAUCAGCCACACUGGAACUGAGACACGGUCCAGACUCCUACGGGAGGCAGCAGUAGGGAAUAUUGGGCAAUGGAGGCAACUCUGACCCACGCCACUCCGCCGUCGCAGGAAGUAAGGACCGUACU
rnacentral:rRNA from 1 species